GAGUUUGAUCAUGGCUCAGAACGAACGCUGGCGGCAGGCCUAACACAUGCAAGUCGAACACUCCAGCAAUGGAGAGUGGCAGACGGGUGAGUAACACGUGGGAACCUUCCCUUUGGUUCGGAAUAGCCCAGGGAAACUUGGGGUAAUACCGGAUAAGCCCUUACGGGGAAAGAUUUAUCGCCGAAGGAUGGGCCCGCGUCGGAUUAGCUAGUUGGUGGGGUAACGGCCUACCAAGGCGACGAUCCGUAGCUGGUCUGAGAGGAUGAUCAGCCACACUGGGACUGAGACACGGCCCAGACUCCUACGGGAGGCAGCAGUGGGGAAUAUUGGACAAUGGGCGCAAGCCUGAUCCAGCCAUGCCGCGUGAGUGACGAAGGCCUUAGGGUUGUAAAGCUCUUUUGGCGGGGAAGAUAAUGACGGUACCCGCAGAAUAAGCUCCGGCUAACUUCGUGCCAGCCGCCGCAGUAAU
rnacentral:rRNA from 1 species